CAUCAUUUGCUAACAUUAAACUCUCGCCCCCUCCCGGCCGCCUCACCUUGCUUGCUCGCAUUCGUACAUGCAUGAUUCCUGCGCCACACUCGAGAUGGAAGCAGAGGGAGCGAGUAUUGCAAAAGAGGGGGUGUGUGCGCGCGCGCAGGCGAGAGAGAGAGAGAGAGAGAGAGAGAGAGAGAGAGGAGAGAGAGAAAGAGAAGCAUGUUUCAGUCCCCAGCCCUUCAUCUUCUGCUCUAUAAAUAUGCCCACUCCCCACCUCCAAGAGCCCAUCCACGACUACAUACACUCGCUACCUCCUUCCCUCUUUCCGUCCGUCAUACUAACUUGACUUUCUUAGUUCUCACUUCGAAGGGAAAAGGGUUCUGUUCCUAACUAGAACUGAUGGAAAGGGUCAACUCCAAGCUCUAUUUGCAGAAUUGUUACAUAAUGAAAGAGAACGAAAGGCUGCGGAAGAAAGCCGAGCUUCUCAACCAGCAGAACCAGGCUCUCUUGUCUGAGCUGAAGCAGAAGGUGGCCAACUCCAACUCCAACUCCAACUCCAACUCCAACUCCAAUCCCAGCCCCAGCCCCGUCCCAGACCUUAAUGGCGCCCCCUCAGACACCAACACUCCUGGUGCAAGCAAGCCUUGAUCUCGUGGAAAUGUGUUCUUGAGGACUUUUUGGAUGCUUUUGUGUGAUAGUUUAGAAACCUAUGCUGCUGGGUCUCUUUUGCCCACAGGGCAGUUAUAUAUAGUUCUGUAAUCAAAUCUAGCUUUGCUCCUAGAAUUUCUUCUUUCUUUCCAUAUGAAACGGUGCCAACAGGAACGAAAAUCCACAUGCUAAAUGCUUAAACAGCUCGAUUUUACCGCAGCUAAGAAUAGUUUUGAAACAACACCGCGAAGCAAAGCUGUGAUAUCACCUAAAAAUCCACGCUUAGCUUCCCAUCGAUGUCAGAGAAAGAUUGGAAGAAGGCCAGGAAAUGUUUGUAAGCGAUAUCCACAUCUUCUUUGCCACAUACCUCCCGCACGC